CCGAUAGUGAACCAGUACCGUGAGGGAAAGGCGAAAAGAACCCCGGCGAGGGGAGUGAAAAAGAACCUGAAACCGUGUACGUACAAGCAGUGGGAGCACCCUUCGGGGUGUGACUGCGUACCUUUUGUAUAAUGGGUCAGCGACUUAUAUUCUGUAGCAAGGUUAACCGUAUAGGGGAGCCGGAGGGAAACCGAGUCUUAACCGGGCGUUAAGUUGCAGGGUAUAGACCCGAAACCCGGUGAUCUAGCCAUGGGCAGGUUGAAGGUUGGGUAACACUAACUGGAGGACCGAACCGACUAAUG
rnacentral:rRNA from 1 species